rnacentral:rRNA from 1 species
GGGAAUCUACCCAUCACUACGGAACAACUCCGGGAAACUGGAGCUAAUACCGUAUACGUCCUUCGGGAGAAAGAUUUAUCGGUGAUGGAUGAGCCCGCGUUGGAUUAGCUAGUUGGUGGGGUAAUGGCCCACCAAGGCGACGAUCCAUAGCUGGUCUGAGAGGAUGAUCAGCCACACUGGGACUGAGACACGGCCCAGACUCCUACGGGAGGCAGCAGUGGGGAAUAUUGGACAAUGGGCGCAAGCCUGAUCCAGCCAUGCCGCGUGAGUGAUGAAGGCCCUAGGGUUGUAAAGCUCUUUCACCGGUGAAGAUAAUGACGGUAACCGGAGAAGAAGCCCCGGCUAACUUCGUGCCAGCAGCCGCGGUAAUACGAAGGGGGCUAGCGUUGUUCGGAAUUACUGGGCGUAAAGCGCACGUAGGCGGACAUUUAAGUCAGGGGUGAAAUCCCGGGGCUCAACCCCGGAACUGCCUUUGAUACUGGGUGUCUUGAGUGUGGAAGAGGUGAGUGGAAUUCCGAGU